rnacentral:lncRNA from 1 species
AAAGCAGUAGCACACAUAAGCACUUCAUAUAGAGAUAAAAAGGUAAAUGUGGAAAGAAUGAUGCCUCCAGGAAGCAGACUUGGGGGGAAAUAGAAGAGGGGAAGCUGCUGUUUCUCUUAAGAGACCCUAUAGGAUUAUUGUGCUUUGGGUAAUGUAACUAUGCAUAGCUUUGCAUGUAUAACUUUGAUAAAAUAUGUUGAGCAAAAACAAAAAGAAAUAUAAGUGUGUAUUUGAAAUAUAUGAAUAGCAUACAAAAUUUAUUGGUGGAAUGGAUAUGAAACAGGAAAAAUCCAAACUUGAGAGUACAAAGGAAGAAUUCCCCUUAGAUAUAGGGGAUUAUUUAUGCUUAUUUCUGUCAUUAUUGAUUUUACUUUUUGUUUUCAGUGGGAUAAUUUAAGAGUCUCUGGUUUUCAGAUUCAUUGCUGUAGCAAGAGGAGAUUGGAUAUAAAUUAAAUUAAGGUUCAGUUUGUUCUCUGUUUUAUUGUGUGCCUUCUUGAAGAAGAGAACAGGUUAAUUUAAUAUAAUAGGUAACAAAGUAAAUACUGUUGUUUGUUGAAAUUGAUGAUGAAGGUUGAAAAUUUGUGAUAGUCAGAUGAUCUCUUUUGCUGGCCUUGGAUUCUUAAGAUAGGUAUUUAACUAUAUUCAGAAGAGGGCAUAUGUUGUUCAGCUUCCCGUUUGAUUGCAAAGUAAAUGUCACACUGUCCUACCUCUACCAGCACUGUAGGACCACAACUUGGGCACAUGUUCUGGUGGAGUGAGUGAGUGCUCCCUGUGCUGCUGCACAAGAUAAUGGAGGAAAGAGGGAAAGAACAGCGAGGGAAGAUAGUGCUGAUAGGCUAGCUCUCCUGUGAUUGGCUUGGCUUCCGAGACUUAUGGGAGACAGCCAGAGGCCUCAUUAAGGUUUCAUUGGGAAACUUAACUUUCCCUCAAGUUUAAAAUAAAGGAACAUGACCCACACCAUGAAGUUUUUCUUGGGUGGUUUGUACAAUAACUGAACUUGAUUUUACUAUGAUACUCCUGGGACUUUCUGCUGCUCUAAGUUUUAUCAGUAAAUGUACUACACUAAUGUGGAAAUGAGUUCAGUUCACCAAACUAAACAUUUGACUUUGACCUUGAAACUAAUACUGUGCACCUACAUUAUGAAGUUGAAAUGAGUUAAUCUUGUUAACUUAAAUCAGAUGCUAUCUAGUUGUGUUUUUAUUAUAUAGUUUAACCUCCGAAAUAUGCAAGAAUAUGAAAAAGGUUACACAAAGGGAUGUCUGAAACAUAGUAUGUAAAUAUACAACCUCAGUGCUAUUGCAUAGUACUGCACUAGGAGAGCCAAGAACAACCAUGAAUCAUCAGAUACAGUCUAGGUCUGGACUGGCACAGCCUGUCUGCUUUUUUAGAAGAUAGGUGGAAACAAGACAUGUUUUCAUAUCAUUAUUGGAAUAAACUAUCAAAACUUUUGUUUACUAAUUAAUGAUCUGUCUUUACACAUUUAAAUUAAUAUCCUUGUGUUAUAUAUUUAUAAAGUUAUUAUCUUACUUUGCUUGGAUAUAGAUAGUAUUUUUC